GGAUUCCCCUAGUAACUGCGAGUGAAGCGGGAAGAGCUCAAAUUUAAAAUCUGGCGGUUUCACCGUCCGAGUUGUAAUCUGGAGAAGCAUUUUCCGCGUUGGACCGUGUACAAGUCUCUUGGAAUAGAGCGUCAUAGAGGGUGAGAAUCCCGUCCAUGACACGGACUACCAGUGCUUUGUGAUAUGCUCUCAAAGAGUCGAGUUGUUUGGGAAUGCAGCUCAAAAUGGGUGGUAAAUUCCAUCUAAAGCUAAAUAUUGGCGAGAGACCGAUAGCGAACAAGUACCGUGAGGGAAAGAUGAAAAGCACUUUGGAAAGAGAGUUAAACAGUACGUGAAAUUGUUGAAAGGGAAACGCUUGAAGUCAGUCGCGUUGUCCGGGACUCAGCCUUGCUAUUUGCUUGGUGUACUUCCUGGUUGACGGGUCAACAUCAAUUUUGGCUGGUGGAUAAAGGCUGAGAGAAGGUGGCAUCUUCGGAUGUGUUAUAGCUCUUGGUUGCAUACGCUGGCUGGGAUUGAGGUCUGCAGCACGCCUUUUGGCCGGGGUUCGCCCACGUAACGUGCUUAGGAUGUUGGCAUAAUGGCUUUAAGCGACCCGUCUUGAAACACGGACCAAGGAGUCUAACAUGCCUGCGAGUAUUAGAGUGGAAAACUCUUGUGCGAAAUGAAAGUGAAAGUUGGGACUCUUUGCGGAGGCACCAACGCCCGGCCCUGAAGUUUACUGACGGUGCUGCGGUAGAGCAUGUAUGUUGGGACCCGAAAGAUGGUGAACUAUGCCUGAAUAGGGUGAAGCCAGGGGAAACUCUGGUGGAGGCUCGUAGCGAUUCUGACGUGCAAAUCGAUCGUCAAAUUUGGG
rnacentral:rRNA from 1 species